rnacentral:rRNA from 1 species
UACGUAGGUGGCAAGCGUUAUCCGGAAUUACUGGGUGUAAAGGGCGCGCAGGCGGCCCUGCAAGUCGGAUGUGAAAGAUCAAGGCUCAACCUUGACAGGCCAUUCGAAACUGUGGGACUUGAGUGUCAGAGGGGAAAGUGGAAUUCCUAGUGGAGCGGUAAAAUGCGUAGAUAUUAGGAGGAACACCGGUGGCGAAGGCGGCUUUCUGGACAGUAACUGACGCUGAGGCGCGAAAGCGUGGGGAGCAAACAGGAUUAGAUACCCCUGUAGUCCCU